rnacentral:rRNA from 1 species
UAGUACGAGAGGACCGGAGUGGACGAACCUCUGGUGUUCGGGUUGUGUCGCCAGACGCAUUGCCCGGUAGCUAAGUUCGGAAUCGAUAACCGCUGAAAGCAUCUAAGCGGGAAGCGAGCCCUGAGAUGAGUCUUCCCUGAUACUUUAAGUAUCCUAAAGGGUUGUUCGAGACUAGAACGUUGAUAGGCAGGGUGUGUAAGCGCUGUGAGGCGUUGAGCUAACCUGUACUAAUUGCCCGUGAGGCUUAACCAUACAACACCCAAAGGGUUUUG